rnacentral:rRNA from 1 species
CGGGAACCGUGAGACAGGUGCUGCAUGGCUGUCGUCAGCUCGUGUUGUGAAAUGUUGGGUUAAGUCCCGCAACGAGCGCAACCCUUAUCCUUUGUUGCCAGCGGUUAGGCCGGGAACUCAAAGGAGACUGCCAGUGAUAAACUGGAGGAAGGUGGGGAUGACGUCAAGUCAUCAUGGCCCUUACGACCAGGGCUACACACGUGCUACAAU